AGUGAACGCUGGCGGUAUGCCUAACACAUGCAAGUCGAACGACAGCACAGUAAGAGCUUGCGCUUACGGGUGGCGAGUGGCGGAAGGGGGAGGAAGACACGGGAAACUACUUUUUCGGGGGGGAUAAAGUGGGGAAAGUUACGGUAAUACCGCAUACGACCUAUGGGUGAAAGCAGGGGUGCAUCGGACCUUGGGCGAGUGAAUGGGCCGAUGUGGGAUCGACUAGUUGGCGGGGUGAAGGCCUGACAAGGCGACGAUGCGUAGAUGGUCGGAGAGGAUGAUCACCUACCCUGGAACUGAGACACGGCCCAGACUCCUACGGGAGGCAGCAGUGCGGACUCUUGCACGAUGGACGAAAGCCUGAUACAGCCAUACCGCGUGAGUGAUGAAGGCCUUCGGGUUGUAGAGCGCUUUUGUUCGGAAAGAAGUGCAGCACGUUAAUCCCCCGCUGUUCUGACGGUACCCAAAGAAUAAGCACCGGCUAACUUCGUG
rnacentral:rRNA from 1 species